CCUCCAUAUUUUCUUCCAUUGCCAUGCUACAAAAUCCACAAUCAACUACUGCUAAGAGUCAUUUUGUGUCUUCUUAUAUUUGUGUAUUAGUAACACAGCCUCCACAUCCCCCACCUAUAAAAUAGAGAAGGCAGUGUUUACAUCUAAUCCCUAGUAUAAGAUCUCUACCUCACAGUAAAUAACCUUGGAAGCCAAGAAUUGCCUUAUUCACGGUCAACCUAAACAGAUGUUUUUCAACAUCUAGUAACAGCCAAAAGAAACUGCUCUAUGAAGCUCCAAGUUCUGGGCCUGUCCUUUAAUUAUUUCACUAGCCUAAUAACAGGAUAAGAGGCUAAAUGAAGUUAGGAUUGACUCCACCGAUAGGUAUGUUAUAAACCGCUAACAACAAACACCUACAUUCCCACUAUCUAAGCAAAAAUAGGGACAACUUUUAGCAAUUUUUUUUAAAACCACCUGGAGGAGGGAUGCAGGGCAAACAGAAAACUUUAAUCACAGAUGCCAACCCUGGAGAUGCAUUUGAUAGCAAAGUCUUUUCCCUUCAUGCCUGCAUUAGUGUGGCAGCCAGAAGAAAAGCAGAUUUUUCCUGUGGGUGGAAACCAUAUGCUUCUGAGUAGCAGCAGAGAUCAAAUUCAACUCCUCUGUCACAGCCUGCUCCGUUCAACUCUCUUUCCAGCAUCCUCCUUUCAAAGAAGUUCCCAGACACCAAAAGUUUGCUUUGAAAGCAUUUAAAAUCGGAGAGCUUUAGUGAAGCUAAAGUUUCCCGAGAAGUUAUGCCCAAGAACUGACAUCACAGCAUUAACCCUUAUCUUUAAACUCGGGUCAUUCCUGUUCUCACAUUGUCUAAAUGUACCAGAAGCUUCUUUUCUUUCCUUUAAAGAUUUUGACUUUUGAAAAGAAUUUUACAAGUUCAAAGCACAGUGCACUGCAACUCUGCCAACUUGUGAUAUGUUCCGCCUUCCCCCGGCCAGUGGAGACUGAGAACCUUUCAAGUCAGAAUGAGUUCGAUAUGUGAAGAGAGAAUGAAAGAAAACUCCAAAGAGGCUCAGAGCAGCAGCUGCCCUUACUAAGAACUGUUGCUGGGAAUUCAGCGAAGAAGGAAAUGCAUGUGCCACAAAUAGAAAUUCUACUGAGGAGAAAAACCAAGACGCCGUCUGCCUUGUAAAAUUCCAACCCAUGUUGGUUUGAAGUAUGGUCUGUAGUGAUAAAUACAGAAGGAUAAAUACAGAAAAACGGAAAAUUAAGAGAAACCUAAGCAAAAGGUGGAGCAAUUUUUAUGAGAUGACAAGCUCUGUCUGACUCAGAUAGCCAUGGAGAAAUGGAGAUAGUCAGAAGGAAUGGAUAUGCUGAGGAAAAAAGCGAUCAAGACACACAUGUCAGAGAAGUGUCACAUUGAUUUCGACAGACUGUAAUCUUUUUCCGUUUUUUAAAAAACACUGAUAGAGUAGAUAGUUUGAUAUCCACUCUGAAACUAUCAAUUUAACAGCUACUGAAGCACGGAGUAACGAGAUGUCAGAGUCUUCCAGUCAACUUUUAGGUUUGUUGAAAGUUCCAUCCAUGAAAAAACUGGAAAUUGGAGGGAAGAAGGGAUGGAUAGAUGUUUUGUCUUAUAGGAACAAAAAGAAGACAUAUAAAAUUGAACUUUUGCGAGGAAGGAAAGUCUAAGACAAGGAAUAGAAAGUCUAGCAUAUUUUAAACCAUAAUUAAAGGAAAUGUUAAUCCAGACAACUUUCGGAGAAGCAAAAACUUGUAUUUAUUCCUCUCUGAGCCGAAAUGGUUUUUGUCUAUGUAUAACAGCGUUUCUCGGGUUUUAUUUGGGAUUUAGAAUGCUAAAAUACUAUUGAGUCUGCUCUUCAGACCAAAAAGCCAUAAACAGUUGGUACAAAGUAGAUUAAAUAGCCCCUGAAAAUCUGAGAAAAGGCUCUGAAGUAAACCUUGCUAUUUCAGCAGACAGGCUACCCUCGCCAUCAUGUGGCAAAUCUCAAAUAGGGCUGGUGCUGCAAUCUGGCUCAGCAGGCACUGCCCAGUGAUAGCCCUCUGACCUCCUAGUUGCAUAAUUAUAAUCACAGAGAGCUGCUCACAAAGAAAAAGUAAGUGAGAAAGAGAGAGAGAUAAAUCAAUUCCCCAGAAAAAUAUACUGCUGACGCCAAUCAUAAAAUGCCCAGAAGGAGAAAACUUUCUUCACUGCCUGGGGAGAACAACGAACAAUCUCAACAAGUUAAAAUGUGGCUGGGAUAUUAGCACAGGACUAGGGUACUUUGUCAAUAGUUCUUUUUUGUUUUUUGGUUUUUUAAUCAAGUCAUGAUUCUGCCACUUCAGUUUGCGAAUAGAGACACCAUCAGUAAGUUUAACAAAUGCUUUUUCCUAUUUAUUUUGUUCAAGAACUAUGGAUUAUGAGAAAGAGACAAAGGAACUAGAUUGUUAGACUGUGAUCUUGUUAUCAGCAGCAGCUCAUGUAAGGUAGGGUCUAGGGUAUGGCAAUCAUGCUUCAGCUCACCACUGCUACCAGGUCGUGAAUGUGUCUCCAUUAUCUGCAGCCUUGGACUUCAUGGGCCAAGACAUCAUUUUAACAACCCUCCCCCUGCAAGAUCUUUUUCAUAUCUGUAUUGGAUGGAAGUAGAUCUAGUCUAACCCAAAGCUCCAUAAAAUAUUUCUUCAGAUCUCCAUAGGCUCAUCAAAGAUAUAUAUUCUAUUCACCACAUUAUUCAUCUCUCAGGUUACCCUUGAUGACCUUCCCUGAGACCGAGAUCCACAUCUAGGCAUUGAUCAAUGUGAUUUCUUCCUCUCCAAGGUUAAGGUGGAAUAAUUGGGUAUGUAGGGUGAGAGAAUGGAGUGAGGGUCUAGUUAAGUACCAGAUUAGAUGUGAAAGGACAGAGAUUUUCCAUAUGUUUAUCCUCCUCUUCUAGUGAUGGACACACAGUUCAAUUCCUUUUCGUGCUAUGCAACAUGACAUAUAACUUUAUAUAUAUGUGGUCUGAAUCUCUCCUUUUCCUCAUCCUUGUUAUCUUUGCCUUGGAACAGUGAUACUAGAUAGAAAGGAGGAGAUCCGAGAUAUCUAAACAUGCAAUUUAAUAUGACUUUGGGUGUGGGAGGUGGAGGUGAGGGCUGGAACCUGGAGUGACUUCUAGAUUUCUUGCUUGGGCAAUAGGUUGGAUGGUGGCACUAUUCACAGAGAUUAAGAAUCUAGAAGAGAAAUCAGGUUGAAGAAAUAUAAUGUAAUAAAUAUUAUAUACUUCGAGUCUCAGGACUCAGUAAGCAGGUGAAGAUGCCUGCUACAGUACUGAAUACAGGCUCUGGAAUGCAGAGAGAUGUUUCAUUGGGAGAAGUAGACAUGAGUCAACAGCAUAAAGAUGGGAGAUAAAGCCAUGGGAAUGAAUAGGAUCACUCAGAGGGAAUAUACAGAGUGAAAAUAUGUUGUGGUCUGAGACUCAGAGAACACCAAGAGUAUGGGGCAGGAAGAUUAAGAAACCACAAACAAGGUAUAUUCAUUAGAGCAAUGCUAAGUAUUCCAACAGAUAAACCCCCAAAUCUCAGAAGCUUAACUAAUAGAAGUUUACUUCCCAUUCAUAUAACUCUAGUACAGAUGUUCCCGGUUAGUAGACAGCCUUCCACAUGGACACUUAAGAACCUCAAUUCCUUCCUUCUUGUGGCUUUACUAAAUGGGGAAAGAACGAAGAUAGAGAGUCAGGUGAGAAGUUUUUGGGGCCAGAACUGGGGGAAGCAUACAUCACUCCUGCCCACAUUCUGUUGACCAGAGCUCCAUUUUCAUGGCCACUUAAUUCCAAGGGAAGCUGAAAAAUAUCAUCUAGCUGUGUGUCUGGGAAGAAAAUAAAAUGGGUUUUGUAAAUAGCCAGCCAUUCUCUUCUUCACAAAAGGAAGAAGCAACAAAGAGGUAAGCAGAG
rnacentral:lncRNA from 10 species